rnacentral:rRNA from 1 species
AGCCAUGCAUGUCUAAGUAUAAGCACUUGUACUGUGAAACUGCGAAUGGCUCAUUAAAUCAGUUAUCGUUUAUUUGAUUGUACCUUACUACAUGGAUACCUGUGGUAAUUCUAGAGCUAAUACAUGCGAAAAGUCCCAACUUCUGGAAGGGAUGUAUUUAUUAGAUUAAAAACCAAUGCAAGUCUUCGGGCUCGUUUUCUUGGUGAUUCAUGAUAACUUUUCGAAUCGCAUGGCCUAGAGCCGGCGAUACUUCAUUCAAAUUUCUGCCCUAUCAACUGUCGAUGGUAAGGUAGUGGCUUACCAUGGUUAUAACGGGUGACGGAGAAUUAGGGUUCGAUUCCGGAGAGGGAGCCUGAGAAACGACUACCACAUCUAAGGAAGGCAGCAGGCUCGAAAAUUACCCAAUCCCGACUCGGGGAGGUAGUGACAAGAAAUAACGAUACGGGGUCUUAAUAGGUCUCGCAAUUGGAAUGAGUACAAUUUAAAUCCUUUAACGAGGAUCAAUUGGAGGGCAAGUCUGGUGCCAGCAGCCGCGGUAAUUCCAGCUCCAAUAGCGUAUAUUAAAGUUGUUGCAGUUAAAAAGCUCGUAGUUGGAUUUCGGAGUGGGCCAGUUGGUCCGCCGCAAGGUGUGUUACUGACUGGUUUGCUCUUCUUCGCAAAGACUGCGUGUGCUCUUGAGUGAGUGUGCGUAGAAUUUACGACGUUUACUUUGAAAAAAUUAGAGUGUUCAAAGCAGGCUAUUGCUUGAAUACAUGAGCAUGGAAUAAUGGAAUAGGACUUUGGUCCCAUUUUGUUGGUUUCUAGGGCCGAAGUAAUGAUUAAGAGGGACAAUUGGGGGCAUCCGUAUUUCGUUGUCAGAGGUGAAAUUCUUGGAUUUACGAAAGACGAACAACUGCGAAAGCACUUGCCAAGAGUGUUUUCAUUAAUCAAGAACGAAAGUUAGAGGAUCGAAGACGAUC